GAAUUUUGGGCAAUGGGCGAAAGCCUGACCCAGCAACGCCGCGUGAAGGAUGAAGUUUUUCGGAAUGUAAACUUCGUAAGAAUAGGAAGAAUAAAUGACGGUACUAUUUGUAAGGUCCGGCUAACUACGUGCCAGCAGCCGCGGUAAUACGUAGGGACCAAGCGUUGUUCGGAUUUACUGGGCGUAAAGGGCGCGUAGGCGGCAAUUCAAGUCAGCUGUGAAAUCUCCGGGCUUAACUCGGAACGGUCAGCUGAUACUGCUUUGCUAGAGUGCAGAAGGGGCAAUCGGAAUUCUUGGUGUAGCGGUGAAAUGCGUAGAUAUCAAGAGGAACACCUGAGGUGAAGACGGGUUGCUGGGCUGACACUGACGCUGAGGCGCGAAAGCUAGGGUAGCAAACGGG
rnacentral:rRNA from 1 species